rnacentral:misc_RNA from 1 species
AAUUCUCAAAAUCCUUGUUUAUUUUAUAAGCGUAGGAUAUUUGGACUUGGAAGUUUGCGGGCUUCUCUUUUGAAGUCGGCUCUUCUAAAAUGUAUUAGCAAGGACUUUUCUAAACCUUGGUGUGAUAAUUAUCUACGCCAUAAGGGUUUCAGAAUAUAUAGUCUGGCUUUCUAGUGAUAAUUAUAUGACA